rnacentral:rRNA from 1 species
GAUGAACGCUGGCGGCGUGCCUAAUACAUGCAAGUCGAGCGAACAGACGAGGAGCUUGCUCCUCUGACGUUAUCGGCGGACGGGUGAGUAACACGUGGAUAACCUACCUAUAAGACUGGGAUAACUUCGGGAAACCGGAGCUACUACCGGAUAAUAUAUUGAACCGCAUGGUUCAAUAGUGAAAGACGGUUUUGCUUUCACUUAUAGAUUGAUCCGCGCCGCAUUAGUUAGUUGGUAAGGUAACGGCUUACCAAGGCGACGAUGCGUAGCCGACCUGAGAGGGUGGUCGGCCACACUGGAACUGAGACACGGUCCAGACUCCUAGGGGGGGCAGCAGUAGGGAAUCUUCCGCGAGGGGCGAAAGCCUGACGGAGCAACGCCGCGUGAGUGAUGAAGGUCUUCGGAUCGUAAAACUCUGUUAUUAGGGAAGAACAAAUGUGUAAGUAACUAUGCACGUCUUGACGGUACCUAAUCAGAAAGCCACGGCUAACUACGUG